CCUGGUUGGUAUUUGCGAAUUCUUCUGGUUUACACCACAGAAUAAAAGGUGUCUAGAAAAUUACUCUUGUGAGGAGUAGGGUAGAAGUUAUAUAUUGGUUUAAGACCUGAGGGGAUUGCUUCAGAAGGGUCAUUACUCAGUGAUGUGAUGUUUUGUUCAGGUUGUGACCCUCUAGAGGUAUUUUCUAAGAUUUGGAAAUGUAUUUUUACAAAAAGAUAGUCCUUUUAAUAGUAGUGAAAUUUCAGUUUUUGUUAAAUUAUAUCUAGAAAGAUUGAAAAUACCUGAAGG